rnacentral:tRNA from 1 species
UCCUGGUUAGCUCAGUUGGUAGAGCGCGCCACUGGAAAUAGAGAGGUACCCGGUUCGACACUAGGACCAGGUG